rnacentral:rRNA from 1 species
UACAGAGGUCUCAAGCGUUGUUCGGAUUCAUUGGGCGUAAAGGGCGCGUAGGCGGCGGGGUAAGUCGGGUGUGAAAUCUCAGAGCUCAACUCUGAAACUGCACUCGAUACUGCUCUGCUUGAGGACUGGAGAGGAGACUGGAAUUCACGGUGUAGCAGUGAAAUGCGUAGAUAUCGUGAGGAAGACCAGUGGCGAAGGCGGGUCUCUGGGCCAUUACUGACGCUGAGGAGCGAAAGCGUGGGGAGCGAACAGG